GUCUGAGACCUAUAACGAAAUUAGUUAAAACUUUCAACAACGGAUCUCUUGGUUCCGGAAUCGAUGAAGAACGCAGCGAAAUGCGAUAACUAAUGUGAAAUGCAGAAUUCAGUGAAUCAUCGAGUCUUUGAACGCACAUUGCGCCCUCUGGUAUUCCGG
rnacentral:rRNA from 1 species